rnacentral:rRNA from 1 species
UGGGGAAUCUUGGACAAUGGGGGCAACCCUGAUCCAGCGACGCCGCGUGGGUGAUGAAGGCCUUCGGGUUGUAAAGCCCUUUUGUCGGGGACGAUGAUGACGGUACCCGACGAAUAAGCACCGGCUAACUCCGUGCCAGCAGCCGCGGUAAGACGGAGGGUGCUAGCGUUGUUCGGAAUUACUGGGCGUAAAGGGCGCGUAGGCGGCUUGUUAAGUCGGGUGUGAAAGCCCGGGGCUCAACCCCGGAACUGCACCCGAGACUGGCAGGCUGGAGACCGGGAGAGGAGAGUGGAAUACCCAGUGUAGAGGUGAAAUUCGUAGAUAUUGGGUGGAACACCAGUGGCGAAAGCGGCUCUCUGGCCCGGUUCUGACGCUGAGGCGCGAAAGCGUGGGGAGCAAACAGG